rnacentral:lncRNA from 1 species
GAACAUUCUAAUUUUUAUGCAACUCCAAUCGCCUCCCUGUGGAUCGACCUCUUACAACCACUAUUCUUCGAGUAGAAAAGGUAGGAGUAAAAAUUUAAAUUUAACUUUUGUUUGUCGGCUCUAACAACGAUCUGUCUAGCAUAUUUUUAGUUAGACAGGAAAGGACGAACAAAAUUUUGGCGCCGUUGCCGGGGAGGCAAAUCGAGAAGCAAGAACGAUCACGGAGAUCAAAUCAAAUUUUGGAUGCCCGGAGUGAACGUACUCCGGUAGUAAGUUUUUAUUUUUAUUUUUAUUAAUUUUCCUUAUUUUGAUAAUUUCUAGUUAAUAAUUUCGUAGUUAUUAAAUUCUAAAAUUUGAAAUUUGAAAUUUAAAAUUCAAAAAAAAAAUUAAAAUUAAAAAAAAUUCAAAAAUUCAAAAAUUUUCUAAAUUCAAAAUUUGAAUUCUGAGAUUCGAAAUUUGAAGUUUAAAAAGAAAGAAAUUUUUAAUUAAAUCAAAAAAAUAUAAAAAAAAUUAUUAUUUUUGCUAGUAAUUGAUAGGGUGCAAUCCCCCAAGGUUAUCAUACCUCUAUUGGGACUCCUCACGGAGUAAUCUCCAGAGCUUAUUCAACGGGCAUUCGGAGAUUGACUGACGCAUAAGAAUUGUGUUUAGUUUACAUUCAAGUUAUUGCUAUAUAAAAAAAAUAAAAAA